rnacentral:lncRNA from 1 species
AUAUGUCAUGGGCUCUGAGAUUCUCUCUGUCUCAUGUGUCCCCUGGAGUCUUGGCCGAUUGGCCCCUGUCAGUUCCACUGUGAUGUCAGAGUACUUGUGAACCACAUAAUUCCACCUCUGAGGCUGGGGCACUUUGCUCACAUCACCACUUCUGGACUCAGCAGGGUUAGGUUCAGCUAGCAAAGUAGCUGCCUAUGAGAAACUGGCUAGCUGGAAAGGGGAGAUGGGCAGGAGCUGUCAGGAGACUGAAAACAACUCAAAGGAGUGUUUGUGUAAAGAGAUAUUCAUGUACAACUGAGAACAGAGAAUCAAGGAAACUUGUGGUCAGAUACGUGCUGUUGCCAUUCUGGGGCAUCCUGCCUUCACAAGCAUUAGAAACAGGUAUAUUUGAAGGCAGCAGACACACACCCAGGAUGGUGACAACACCAUGCCCUCCACCUGACUCAGGAGCUGGCAGAGCCUGGGCACUCGUUUCCAAACAUCCUGGACGCAUUAAUCAGCCUCAUGGAAUGGAGAGAAGAUCUAACCCUACCGAAGUCCCCCAAGGAAAGCUCGCUUUGCCUGUGGUCACUGAGGACCAGGAGGCACUGAGGAGCCUCUGGGCAGAACAAGAUGUUGCAGAAUCCAUACGCUCUGCUCUCGGUCUUUAAACCGCAGGUCUGAGCAUCCUUCUUAUUCUUCUCACUCACGUAAACCCAUGUUGAGCAUCUGCUGCAGGUGAGCCACGCAGGUAUUUAUGAUGCAGGGAAAAAACGAUCUGUGCCCUCAACAGGCAUCACCAGAUUCAGAUAACUGCAGGCUGUGGAGAAACAAUAUGGGACUGAAGGCACAGGAUCAGAAGCACACACUUGGGUUGAACACUGGCUUAUUGUAGCAAAGUUAACUUCAACAAGUCUCUUAACUUCUUUGAGCCUCUUUAUAUUCCUCUGAAAUAUAGGACUAUUUACUGGGUGACUGGUGGAAUUAAACGAGAUAAUGGGUAUAAUUUCCCCAGUUCAUAGUUGGAAUCCAAUAUAUGAUAGAUGUCAAUGUUAUUAUAAGCGCUAAGAUUUUAAGUCUUGAAACUUGGGACACAAGAGGAAGAAUGCUCCACACAUGGGAGAAGAACAGUAGUUAGAAGAGGUCUCCUUCCACCUAUUUCUGGUUCCUUUCUCUAAAUUCUUUUGAUGCUUACACCUCUAACAAUGUCAUGAGUGUUAUGGAAAUUCAGCCGGAAUCUCUCUCUUCCUAUUCAGUUGUUAUCUACAUGCUAACUUUACCAGCAUAGGACAGAUUUAUAAUAUAAAGAAGAGAGAAGAAGGUGGAUGAGGAGGCGAAUGAGGAUGAAAGAAGAAAAGAAAAAAAAAAAGGGAAAGAAAAAUAUUGUUAUCUAACCCUGAGUUUAUGCCUGCCAAUUUAUCAAAAAUUUCCUGGCAGAAAUGACCUUUCAGAACACCCUCUAGAAUUAUUCCUCUCCUGUGGGAAAUGGGAUUCAGUAAGCCCAGCAGCAGCUGCAGUACAUAAUAAAAGGAGAAAUUAUCUUAAUGAGCUUAUUUGC